UACGUAGGGACCAAGCGUUGUUCGGAUUUACUGGGCGUAAAGGGCGCGUAGGCGGCGUGGUAAGUCACUUGUGAAAUCUCUGAGCUUAACUCAGAACGGCCAAGUGAUACUGCUGUGCUAGAGUGCAGAAGGGGCAAUCGGAAUUCUUGGUGUAGCGGUGAAAUGCGCAGAUAUCAGGAGGAACACCGAUGGCGAAGGCAGGUCUCUGGGCAUUAACUGACGCUGAGGAGCGAAAGCAUGGGGAGCGAACAGG
rnacentral:rRNA from 1 species